ensembl:lncRNA
AUUUGUGUGAACUAGUGCAGUUGGAAAUGCUGAAUAACUUCUACUUCAUACGAAAUCAAGUCCAUUGUAAAUGUGUAAUUGCGAUCCUCAAACAGCUUAAAGAUUUUCUGCAAAUACUCCUUAAACACCAUGAAACCAUUAGAAAUGGACAGGACUUCAUAGCUCCUGCAAACACAUCUUUUCCUUGGUCUUACGUCCCAGCAAUAUUCAGCUCAAUCUGAGUCUGAAAGUGAGGAAUGUGAAGAGUCUCUUCCUGUGAAAGAAGUGGCACUUAGCACCAAGGUAUUUUCAUCCUGUCAACACUGGCCCUGUGGUUAGCUGCUGAAGGGUUGGAGGAGAGUCUCCUCUAAAGAAAAAAAUAAACAAAGAAAAACCAUGUAUGUCACCACAGCAGAAGAUACUGCAUUUGGAUGUGUGAGCGAGCAGUGGAUCCUUUGGGAAGUGCCAACAGGGCCUCGUAAUGGCCAUGCCUCCAGAAAGCUGCUGUGGAGAGUCAAAACAAUUAAAAAGUACUUCACCCCCAUGCUCCCUGCAGGAAUUCAGAUGCUCAAGUCACUCUGUCCUUUCUGGAACACAUUAGUUUCACAACAGGUGAUGACAGCAGCCUGAGAGACAGCAAUAGGUGCCAGUGUGAGCCUGCAGAGAAAUCAGAGCAUCCCUGUAAACCAGGAAUUCCCCUACCCACCCUCCAUUUUGUUCAGUGUUUCCUGAUGACCACAGAGGCCAGAAGCUCUGCUCAUGCAGGCAGCAACGUCACCUAUACGUGUUCAGAAGAUGUAGAUCCCACAGUCAGAAAAGCAGCUCAGCCUGAAGAUCUGAGAUACAUCUCUAGGACUGUACAUUUCUUCUUAUAAUUUCUGGUGAUGUUCCCAGUUUUUCUGAUGGAAACUUCAUCAAAUCCACCCUUGUGGGAUCAUCUUGAUGUCAAAGGUGUUAAAGCAAUGCAGCGUUGGACCUGAGUUAUUCUGCAUACUCAUGGAAUGUAUUAGUUCCCAGGCAUGCAGCUAGGUUAGAAUCUUAAUCAUAAAAUAUCUAAAACCAAUCAAUUGGCUUAUCUUUAGUCCAUUAAAACAAGCAAAACUGGACAUCUACAAAAACACACAGCCUUUCUACAGUGUUUCCAAGUCACGCUAUGGUAAUCAGUAGCUGUGAAAGUGAAGUCCCUACACACACAUACGGGAACAUAUCAUAGAACCAUAAUAUGGCUUGGAUUGGAAC